rnacentral:lncRNA from 1 species
AUGCUGAAAAAAUGCGUUCCUCUCCUAGGUCUGCGUGAUCAUCAAUUGAAAGGAAAUUGCUUCUGCCAGCUGAUGACGCCCAAAUCCAUGCCUCUAAUUUCAGAUCCCUCUUUGGAGGUUGGCAUCCAUAUAUCUAAGGGGCUUGCAGGGUGCCCAUUCUCACAGGCACACAGGUUGCCCUGUCCCACUCCAGCCCAUAGUUUCUAUCCUUGCUGGAGCGCUCUCUGCAGAAAGCGGGAUCCACGCCAUCAGUUCCUGUCAUUGGCACUGAGGACUGGCAGCCGCGCCGUCUCAGGGCAUCCGGUGUCCAGGAUGAUUUGACCUCUGCUCAACAUUCCAGACUCCCUGGUUUCCAGCCAUUCCCCACGUAGACCCUAAGAGCCCACCCAGGUGCUAGAUCUAACUCCACUGUCUGUAUUGUGUUUUGUGUUUGUUCUUUCCAGAAGUCCCCCUGCAUUUCAUGUCUAGCUCAUUCUAUUCGUUCUGUAACUCUGUGGAGACAUCACCAUCUCUACAAGGCCUCCUUUGAAAACUCCGUUUCCAGGCUAGGUGGGGGACCUACAUGCUUCCAGGCAGGCUGUGCUGCCUCUCCCUAGCACAAGUCACAUGGUAUUUUCAUACUGAGUCCGCCUGUGUUCCUUAUGGGGCUCAAAGUGCUGAGGGGAAGGCAUCAAUGAUUUCAUCUCGUGGCUAUUGGAGCCUCGCACAGUGCCUCUGGGCACUCUCUAAGCUAAGCCUGCUUUCCUCACCAUCACAAGACCUAGUACAUUUCUGUGAAGGCGCUGUUCCUCUACACGGCCAGCCAUGCGAUAUCAGAGUUUGUCUGCUGUAUUCAUACCUGCGCUCUGAUACCAGUACGUGGUGUGUCUAAUCAUUAAAGGAAUAAGUAAAUGAACUUGGCACUCAAGCUGGUAUCCUAGCUUUGCACCACUACUUAGUUUUUUUAUAUUUCAAAUCACCUUUUUCCCCCAAUUUUCUUUGACAGGAUAUUUUUUUUUAAAGAUUUAUCUAUUUAUUUGAAAGUCAGGGUAACAGAGAGCAGAGGCAGAGAAAGACAGAGAAGUCUUCCAUCCGUUGCUUCACUCUCCAGUUGGCAGCAACGGCCGACGCUGCACUUAUCUGAAGCCAGGAGUCAGGAGUUUUUUCUGGGUCUCCCACACGGCUGCAGGGGUACAACGAUGCGGACCAUCUUCUACUGCUUUCCCAGGCCAUAGCAGAGAGCCGAAUCAGAAGUGGUACAGCUGGGACUUGAACCAGCACCUGAACGGGAUGCUGGCACUGCAGGUAGCAGAUUUACCCACUACACCACAGAGCCAGCCCCCGACGGAAUAUUUUAUAGUAAGCAGUCAUUGAUUGAUUAUGAGAGGCUUCAAAUUAUUCAUGGAAAAAUUUAUAAAACUUUUUGAAAUCCAUGCACACUUUUUCCAUAAUAGGUAUUUUCCAUGGACUUUUUGAAGAGCCCUCAUAUGCAAAAAUUUCAGAAUUUUUGGCACCAAAAAUAAACUUAUCUUUUCAUUCCA